rnacentral:rRNA from 1 species
GACGAACGCUGGCGGCGUGCUUAACACAUGCAAGUCGAACGGAAAGGCCCUUCCUUUGUUGGGCGCUCGACUGGCGAACGGGUGACUAACACGUGACUAACCUGCCCUUGACUUUUGGAUAACUUCAGCAAAUUGGGGCUAAUACCGGAUGGUCCUUCCUGCUGCAGGGUGGGGGUUGGAAAGUUUCGGCGGUUGGGGAUGGACUCGCGGCCGAUCAGCUGGUUGGUGGGGUAGUGGCUUACCAAGGCUUUGACGGGUAGCCGGCCUGAGAGGGUGACCGGCCACAUUGGGACUGAGAUACGGCCCAGACUCCUACGGGAGGCAGCAGUGGGGAAUAUUGCACAAUGGGCGGAAGCCUGAUGCAGCAACGCCGCGUGCGGGAUGACGGCCUUCGGGUUGUAAACCGCUUUCGCCUGUGACGAAGCGUGAGUGACGGUAAUGGGUAAAGAAGCACCGGCUAACUACGUG